UACGAAGGGGGCUAGCGUUGUUCGGAAUUACUGGGCGUAAAGGGCGCGUAGGCUGUGCUGUAAGUCAGGCGUGAAAGCCCCGGGCUCAACCUGGGAAUUGCGCUUGAUACUGCGGCGCUGGAAGGUGGGAGAGGAUGGCGGAAUUCCCAGUGUAGAGGCGAAAUUCGUAGAUAUUGGGAAGAACACCGGUGGCGAAGGCGGCCAUCUGGCCCACAAUUGACGCUGAGGCGCGAAAGCGUGGGGAGCAAACAGG
rnacentral:rRNA from 1 species